UGCAAGUCGUAACGAUGAUCCCAGCUUGCUGGGGGAUUAGUGGCGAACGGGUGAGUAACACGUGAGUAACCUGCCCUUGACUCUGGGAUAAGCCUGGGAAACUGGGUCUAAUACCGGAUACGACCAUCUGGCGCAUGUCAUGGUGGUGGAAAGCUUUUGUGGUUUUGGAUGGACUCGCGGCCUAUCAGCUUGUUGGUGGGGUAAUGGCCUACCAAGGCGACGACGGGUAGCCGGCCUGAGAGGGUGACCGGCCACACUGGGACUGAGACACGGCCCAGACUCCUACGGGAGGCAGCAGUGGGGAAUAUUGCACAAUGGGCGCAAGCCUGAUGCAGCGACGCCGCGUGAGGGAUGACGGCCUUCGGGUUGUAAACCUCUUUCAGUAGGGAAGAAGCGUAAGUGACGGUACCUGCAGAAGAAGCGCCGGCUAACUACGUGCCAGCAGCCGCGGUAAUACGUAGGGCGCAAGCGUUAUCCGGAAUUAUUGGGCGUAAAGAGCUCGUAGGCGGUUUGUCGCGUCUGCUGUGAAAGACCGGGGCUCAACUCCGGUUCUGCAGUGGGUACGGGCAGACUAGAGUGCAGUAGGGGAGACUGGAAUUCCUGGUGUAGCGGUGAAAUGCGCAGAUAUCAGGAGGAACACCGAUGGCGAAGGCAGGUCUCUGGGCUGUAACUGACGCUGAGGAGCGAAAGCAUGGGGAGCGAACAGGAUUAGAUACCCUGGUAGUCCAUGCCGUAAACGUUGGGCACUAGGUGUGGGGGACAUUCCACGUUUUCCGCGCCGUAGCUAACGCAUUAAGUGCCCCGCCUGGGGGAGUACGGCCGCAAGGCUAAAACUCAGAGGAAUUUGACGGGGGGCCCGCACAAGCGGCGGAGCAUGCGGAUUAAUUCGAUGCAACGCGAAGAACCCUUUACCAAGGCUUGGACAUGAACCCGGAAAGACCUGGUAAACAGG
rnacentral:rRNA from 1 species